AGCACGGGGCGGGGCCUGCGUGCGGGGGCGGGGCCGCGGCGCUCGGGGCUGGCGGGCUCGGAUGGCGGCGGCGCAAGGCUCCUGAGCGGGCCGGGGCCAUGAGCGCCGCCCGGCCCCAGUUCAGCAUCGAUGACGCCUUCGAGCUGUCCCUGGAGGACGCGGGCCCAGGGCCCGAAUUCAGCGGGGUUGCCCGCUUCGGGCCGCUGCACUUCGAGCGCCGAGCCCGGUUCGAGGUGGCCGACGAGGAAAAGCAGUCCCGGCUGCGCUACCAGAACCUGGAGAAUGAUGAGGAUGCAGCCCAAGCCUCUCCGGAGCCGGAUGGGGGAGUCAGCAUCAGGGAUUCCAGCCGAACGUCCAUCCGCAGCUCCCAGUGGUCCUUCAGCACCAUCAGCAACAGCACCCAACGAUCUUACCAUGCCUGCUGCAGCUGGACGCAACACCCUUUGAUCCAGAAGAACCGCCGGGUAGUGCUGGCCUCCUUCCUACUCCUGCUGCUGGGGCUGGGUGAGGAAACUGAGGCCUUAAGAGGAGCAGGCCCGGUCUCCUGGACACACAGCCAGGAAAUCACACAUAGUGGAAAAGGGAACCUGGUCCCAUGCUCCAAACUUUUUUUUAACUUAGCCAUUUAAUCCCUCAUGGAGCAAAAGAGCCAACAGCCACCAUUUAUUCUGUGGCUACUUCAAGCCAGCCGCAGGGUAGGCUUAUUUCCGGCCUUACGGAGGUCACACAGAAAGUGAGAGGUGGGACCGUGACCCAGAACCAGUACGGAGACAAGUGCUCAGGGAUCUGCCCAUCCCUGUCGACAGGGAUGCGGAGCACCCUGCCGGCCCGACCCACGGAGCACCUGUCGCGUCCCCAUCCCUGGAGUCUGAGAGCUGAGGAGGACCCCUCCCUGGCCCUCACCGGGUACACCUAUUGCCCAGAUGGGGAAAGCGAAGACCAGAGCAGACAGAUCUCCCAGCCAGAUGUUUUCUGACUCAUUCUGCGGGGCUGAGGAAUCAGGAUCCCCAGCAGGGACCUAGGGUCGGGAUCAAGAGGGGCUCGUGAGGACAGCCCAGCUGUGGCAGCUGCUCUCCAUCUUCCAGCACGGUCAGAGUCCCCUAGCCAGAAAGCUGAGCAGCGUCCUCGCCUCGGCUCUGAGUGUCUACGUGUCGGGGGAGGGAGCCACCAACUUCUCCAGUCCCCACUGCAAGCUGGGCACUGGUCAUACGGGCCACCUGCCUUAUCCCAUUUCAUUCUCUCUCCCAGUACCCACAAGGGCAAGCAUUAUUACCAUCCCAGUCCAGAAAUAAGGACAGAGGCUCAGCCAGCUCUCUGCGUCUCAGUUUCAUCUUCUGUGAAAUGGGGAUGAUAAUACCUGUUUCAUUCAGUCACGGUGACAAUAAAGCAGGCAGGUAACAAGCUUAGCCCAGUGCCUGGCAGCACCUGGUAAGUAACAACUAAAUGUUAGCUGCUAUAGCUGUCACCACCCCUGCUCAGCGUCAUUGCUACCGCCUCCAGGAAGCCCCUCCCGAUCCCCCAGGCUCCCCCUGCCGCCUGCUCUGGCCUGCCACACCCCCUAUCACUGGAUCGUAGCUUGGAGUUUCUUGUUGGUUUUACCACUAGGGAAGGGCCAUGAGGGCAGGGACCUCAUUCGCUUUUCCCUGUGGGAUUCCCAGUACCAGGCACACAGCAGGUGUUCCAUAAAUGUUUGUCGAUUGACUAAAGGCCACACCACGGAGCAGAGGAAAAUCUCACUUCAGACAUUUCCCAGGCCCUGCCAGGUGCCCUGCUCUGAAAACACAGAGCUUGUGCUGAUCCUGAUCGCCGUGGGACUGGAGGUGGCCCCCUCGCCAGGUGUCUCCAGCGCCAUCUUCU